UACGUAGGGGGCGAGCGUUGUCCGAAGUUACUGGGCGUAAAGCGCGCGUAGGCGGUCGAUUAAGUCUGGGGUGAAAGGUUCAGCGCUCAACGCGAACAGUGCCUUGGAUACUGGUUGACUUGAGUUGGGGAGGGGGAAGUGGAAUUCCGGGUGUAGCGGUGAAAUGCGUAAAUAUCCGGAGGAACACCGAUGGCGAAGGCAGCUUCCUGGCCCACAACUGACGCUGAGGUGCGAAAGCGUGGGGAGCGAACGGG
rnacentral:rRNA from 1 species